rnacentral:misc_RNA from 1 species
GGUUUGAUUAUGGCUCAGAUUGAACGCUGGCGGGAUGUUUACACAUGCAAGUCGAACGGCAGCACGGACUUCGGUCUGGUGGCGAGUGGCGAACGGGUGAGUAAUGUAUCGGAACGUGCCUAGUAGCGGGGGAUAACUACGCGAAAGCGUAGCUACUACCGCAUACGCCCUUCGGGGGAAAGCGGGGGACCUUCGCCUCGCACUAUUAGAGCGGCCGAUAUCGGAUUAGCUAGUUGGUGGGUAACGGCUCACCAAGGCGACGAUCCGUAGCUGGUUUGAGAGGACGACUCAGCCACACUGGGACUGGAGACACGGCCCAGACUCCUACGGGAGGCAGUGGGGAAUUUUGGACAAUGGGGGGAAACCCGAUCCAGCCAUCCGCGUGUGCGAUGAAGGCCUUCGGGUUGUAAAGCACUUUUGGCAGGAGAAAGAAACGGCACGGAUAAUACCCCGUGCAACUGACGGUACCUGCAGAAUAAGCACCGGCUAACUACGUGCCAGCAGCCGCGGUAAUACGUAGGGUGCGUUAAUCGGAAUUACUGGGCGUAAAGCGUGCGCAGGCGGUUCGGAAAGAAAGAUGUGAAAUCCCAGAGCUUAACUUUGGAACUGCAUUUUUAACUACCGAGCUAGAGUGUGUCAGAGGGAGGUGGAAUUCCGCGUGUGUAGCAGGAAAUGCGUAGAUAUGGAGGAACACCGAUGGCGAAGGCAGCCUCCCGGGAUAACACUGACGCUCAUGCACGAAAGCGUGGGGAGCAAACAGGAUUAGAUACCCUGGUAGUCCACGCCCUAAACGAUGUCAACUAUUGGGUUGGGGCCUUCGGGCUCUGGUAGCGCAGCUAACGCGUGAAGUUGACCGCCUGGGGAGUACGGUCGCAAGAUUAAAACUCAAAGGAAUUGACGGGACCCGCACAAGCGGUGGAUGAUGUGGAUUAAUUCGAUGCAACGCGAAAA